AAAAGGCUUAGUGGCGGACGGGUGAGUAACGCGUGGGUAACCUGGCCCAUACAGGGGGAUAACACUUAGAAAUAGGUGCUAAUACCGCAUAACAACAGAAAGCGCAUGCUUUUUGUUUGAAAACCAAGGUGGUAUGGGAUGGACCCGCGUCUGAUUUAGCUGGUUGGCGGGGUAAAGGCCCACCAAGGCGACGAUCAGUAGCCGGCCUGAGAGGGUGGACGGCCACAUUGGGACUGAGACACGGCCCAAACUCCUACGGGAGGCAGCAG
rnacentral:rRNA from 1 species